GAUGAACGCUGGCGGCGUGCCUAAUACAUGCAAGUCGAGCGAAUGGAUUAAGAGCUUGCUCUUAUGAAGUUAGCGGCGGACGGGUGAGUAACACGUGGGUAACCUGCCCAUAAGACUGGGAUAACUCCGGGAAACUGGGGCUAAUACCGGAUAACAUUUUGAACCGCAUGGUUCGAAAUUGAAAGGCGGCUUCGGCUGUCACUUAUGGAUGGACCCGCGUCGCAUUAGCUAGUUGGUGAGGUAACGGCUCACCAAGGCAACGAUGCGUAGCCGACCUGAGAGGGUGAUCGGCCAAACUGGGACUGAGACAUGGCCCAGACUCCUACGGGAGGCAGCAGUAGGGAAUCUUCCGCAAUGGACGAAAGUCUGACGGAGCAACGCCGCGUGAGUGAUGAAGGCUUUCGGGUCGUAAAACUCUGUUGUUAAGGAAGAACAAGUGCUAGUUGAAUAAGCUGGCACCUUGACGGUACCUAACCAGAAAGCCACGGCUAACUACGUGCCAGCCGCCGCUGUAA
rnacentral:rRNA from 1 species